CGCGUAGGCGGGAUGGCAAGUCGGUCGUGAAAUCCUUUGGCUCAACCGAAGAACGUCGAUCGAUACUGCUGUUCUUGAGGGUUGCAGAGGAGACUGGAAUUCCCGGUGUAGCGGUGAAAUGUGUAGAGAUCGGGAGGAACACCGGUGGCGAAGGCGGGUCUCUGGGCAACUCCUGACGCUGAGGCGCGAAAGCGUGGGGAGCAAACGGGAUUAGAUACCCCGGUAGUCCACGCUGUAAACGAUGACGACUAGGUGUGGGGGGGUUCAGUCCCUUCCGUGCCGCAGCUAACGCAUUAAGUCGUCCGCCUGGGGAGUACGGCCGCAAGGUUGAA
rnacentral:rRNA from 1 species